UUUACAAAAACAUUUCUUUUAGUGUUAAUAAAAAGUAUAGCCUGCCCACUGUAGUAUAAAGGGCCGCGGUAUUAUGACCGUGCUAAGGUAGCAUAAUCAUUAGUCUCUUAAUUAGGGAAUUGUAUGAAUGGUUGAACUUUCAGGUGUUUUGUUUAAAAUUGGAGUGUGAAUUAAAUUUAAAGAUGAAAAUUUCUUUGUAUAGCAGUAAGACGAUAAGACCCUUUAGAGUUUUAUACUGAAAAAAGUAAUCGUUAAGGUAAAAUACAUCUUACAGUGUUUAGUUGGGGCAAUAAAAGAAUAAUAUGAACUUCUGUUAAGUAUCUUAAAUUUUAAAAUUAGAAAAAUUACCUAAGGGAUAACAGCGUUAUAAAUAUUGAGAGAUCAUAUCGACAUAUUUGUUUGCGACCUCGAUGUUGAAUUAAAAAAUCUUAAAGAGGCAGCACUU
rnacentral:rRNA from 1 species